rnacentral:rRNA from 1 species
CAAUGGACGAAAGUCUGACGGAGCAACGCCGCGUGAACGAUGAAGGCUUUCGGGUCGUAAAGUUCUGUUGUUAGGGAAGAACAAGUACCAGAGUAACUGCUGGUACCUUGACGGUACCUAACCAGAAAGCCACGGCUAACUACGUG